ensembl:snoRNA
UGGACCAAUGAUGAUGACUGGUGCAUAUGAGUCAUAUACAGUGAAUAUUACGUGUUGGGAGCUCUGAGGUCCAA